GGCCCCCAAGCUGCGUUGACCCGCGCAGGCCUAGGCGGUUGCGAACUCCCGCCUUCUAGUCCCCGCGCGCUGACUUCCGGUCUUUUUCUACGUCGAUUGGUCAAAUCCUCUGGCUAUCGCGUCACGACCUUAAAGUGGAUUAGUUGGCCUUGUGGUCAGUCAUAGUGACCCCUGACAGCGGGAGACUUCAUUGGCGUUGUCAAGUGUCGGUCACUGUGUCACAGGACGUCGCGUGGUACCAUUGGUCUGUAAGGGCACUAUUCACCCCGCCCCCAUCUGAGGUGACGGGAAAGGGUUGGGGAAUUUCCACUUUUGAUAAAAAUGAAGGCUGAGGUGACGACUUGCAAGAAUUGGUGAGAUCUGGGGUAGAAUUCGCCAUGCGCUCAGGAAGCUCCUACGUCAGCCUCCUGAAUCCUGGCCUCACCUGAUGCCCAGGAAGCUGGGGGGCUCCCCCAGAGCACAGGCUCUGCUCUCUCUCCGAAGACUGUCCAUGUGGGCCAGGGAGAUGACAGUGGCUGAGACAUACCAGGGGAGCCCAAGCACUGAAGUGAGCAGCAUCAGCAAAGCCACACAGAAGAGGUCCAGGUGGAAGCCAGCUCCCUUCUGCAGGCAGGGCCCAAGGCCCAGAGCUAGUCCUCUCCCACAGAAAGAGAGUUGACACUCACCACAGAUGGGAAGAAGCGGCUUGUCUUGACAUGCUUGAAGGCCAUGGCAAAGAGGAAGG